UCAAUGGUGAUUCUUCAAUCGCAAGUUGCGCAUCACAGUGAUGCCGUUUUCAAUAAAAUCAUCCAGUGCGGAUGAUUUUUGUCCAUCAUCACCAACAACAACACCUUUACGCCUUACUACCUCAACUGCAUCAAAUGUUCACCACCAUAAUCAUCACCACAGUCAUCACCGUCAUUCGCAUCUUCAUCAUCGAAGUUCUCCACAGGAUUAUCAUGUAGAUGAUGAUACUUACCCACAUGGUGAUAAAUCCUCUGUUUUUAAUUGUUCCCCGGGGAAAAGCAAGACAACAUCACCGACAACAUCUUCUUCAUCAAAUUCAUCAACAUCCUCAACCAUUGUUGCAACAACAACCGGAUUAGACGAAGAAGACGAAGAAACAAAUAUUGAGAUCAAGAAAAAAUCAACAUCAAGUUCGAAGGCAACAUCAUCUUCCUUGAAAUUAGUAUCAAAAUCAACAGAUCGGAAGAGC
rnacentral:lncRNA from 1 species